CACGUAAGGUGCUAGCGUUGUUCGGAAUUAUUGGGCGUAAAGGGCAUGUAGGCGGCGCGAUAAGUCAGACGUGAAAUCCCGGGGCUCAACCCCGGAACUGCGUUUGAUACUGUUGCGCUUGAGUCAGCGAGGCGGAACCGGAAUUCCUGGUGUAGGGGUGAAAUCUGUAGAUAUCAGGAAGAACACCGGUGGCGAAGGCAGGUUCCGAGCGCAUGACUGACGCUGAGGUGCGAAGGUGCGGGGAG
rnacentral:rRNA from 1 species